UUAUAAGGAAGUCUUGGCAGGUGUAGGUAGAGAGCACAUUCUUGUUAUCUUUGAAAGAAAUGUACUCUCUUCAAUGCCUGGCAAGUUUUCCUAAUUAACA